UCUUGAUGGCGUGUGCAAUUCAAUCAAAGAUACUACCGUAAUAUAUGUACCUCUCAAGUGAUCUCCUCCCACUUCUUCAUUUAGUUCUGGUUUCAGUCUCUUUAAACUAUCGAAAAAGGGAUUCUAUGUUCGUGCCCGUACAGUUCCUGUUGUCUCGACAAUUAUUUUAUGCUUCUGGGAAAUGUUGGUUGAUAGGAUGGUAAAUCGGUGAUGAGUUGGAGGAGAAUGACCAAGUCUCUUCAACCUUUGUGGCACAAAUACGGCCUGCUCUUCUCCUUCACUCUCUUGCUUGCGCUCAACUUUAGCAUGUCGAGCCUUACUCCUAGUGCUUCACUUUUAGGGAACACUAUAUGGUGACAUAUAUCAUUCUUCGUUCCUUUUGCUCCUCUUUUGUUGUUGCAGGGAGCUGGAGUAUUAUUUGCUGCAUAAAGAUUGGUGGAGAAAUUUGUCUUUUCAGUUCACACUAGAGUGGGCUCAAGAACACACUGGUCUACCACAAAAGCUUGCAACUCUUUUGGGGUUUUGCACCAUGGAUUGAGACCUGAAGACUAUAACCUGCACUUUGUGAGCAAACGGAGGUUACAAAGUUUAGCCAGCAAGAGUAUGAAAUGCUUCAAAAUAUAAUAUUUAGAAUUGCUAAGUGUGAAUAUGUUCACCUAAAUUAUUUUUAAGUAUUGGUCUCAAAACCAUCAACUAAAACUACAAGAAUGACUUACCAAUAACACAAUUGUAGACACAGUAACCCCAGAAUAUAAAAAGAAAUGAGUUGGUCUCUCUAUAAUAAAUUAAUGCAUGGAUGUAAUCAGUUGAUAUGCAUGGUUUAAUUCUAUGUUGAUGUGUCUUGUGAUGUAAUGGAUAUACAGCUGCGACAUGCUUUUGCCCUUUCAUGUUCUUGUCAA